GUCAGGCCUCAGACCUCCUUUAUACAGGGGCCUGUGGGAGGAGCCACAGGAGCAGUCAGCAGGGGCAUGUCCCGACAGGCACAUAGUUCACCACAAUGUCAUCAUACACUACCUUGGGAUUAAUUUCCAAGCACCCAGUUUUGAUCAUCUCUCUAGUCCCUUGCCAGGACUGCUUGUCCAGAAGCGAAACAUGGAACCUCUUUGCUUGAGGAGGCCUCAAUCUGACUCAGCCGUUUGUCCCGCCUUCUCCUUCUGAGAUCUGGUUUCAGGGGAUCCAAACGUGAACUUAAGGGAUAACCCAGCACAGUUGGUGAGUUCUUCGUUGUGGAGCGUGCAGCAUUACGAUACGCAAGGAGCAGAUUGAUGGGCUUCUGAAUCAGUGUCACUGUAGUGUGUUCUGCUGACGUUCCUCGCAAUGCGUUCUUUAGACUCCCGACAAACCUUUCUGUCAGACCAUUUGUCGCUGGGUGGUACAAUACAGAUGUAAUAUAUCUUAUUCCAUUCACCUGACUGAAAUUGUUCCGCAACAAACUGGUCCAUUGUCACUGAUUAAGCGUCAUUAUUGAGAAGAGGCUUCUCAACAUAUCAGCAGCGUGCAAGUCUGUACUGGAGGCUAUCGGAACACCUCUUGCCACUUUGUAGCUGCAUCAUCUACUACCAAGAAAUGUGUGCCCAUGAAUAGACUGGCAAAAUCCACAUGAGAAUCCUCUGCCAAGGCAUUACAGGCCAUUCCAAGGAUGGAGAGGCAGUGCUCCUGGCAACUUCUAGACGUGUUAGCACCCUGAAGAGUGCAUGGCAAGCUGCUCGAUCUGUUGAUCUAUCUCACGCCACCAAACAAAGCUUCAAGCCAACACUUUCAUCUUGACCACGUCUAAAUGACCAGCAUGGAGUUCCUCCAGCACUUUAGCUCUCAGCUUGGACAGUACGAAAACUCUCAAUCCAGAAUCAGGUUUAAUAUCGUUGGCAGAGUAAUUUACAGCAAUCGAUUAACCCACCAACCACAAGUCUUCAGGAUGCAGGAGAAAACUGGAGUCUCCGUGAAACGCAUCUGACCAAAUUCCACACAAACAGCACCUGAGCUGCUGGAAUAAGGAGACGUGGUGCUCCCAUGGCAACUCGUGAGGUAACUGAUCACAUUGUCAAGAUAAAAGAAAAACAAGUUCUGAGCGUCUGAAAGAAGAACUGAAAUACAGAGCUGGCGAUUAGCAUUUGAAAGUAAAAGCAGGUCUGAUAUUUGAGGAAGAUUAAUUCAAAAGGACACGGAGC